rnacentral:rRNA from 1 species
GUCGAGGGGCAUCCGGGCUAGGAGCUAUCCUUGCCGCCGGCGACCGGCGCACGGGUGAGUAACGCGUAUGCGACCUGCCCGUUGCAGGGGGAUAAUCGGGAGAAAUCCCGUCUAAUACCGCGUAACGCCGCGGGGCUGCAUGGCCCUGCGGCCAAAGGGAGCGAUUCCGGCAACGGAUGGGCAUGCGUGACAUUAGCUAGUUGGCGGGGCAACGGCCCACCAAGGCGACGAUGUCUAGGGGUUCUGAGAGGAAGGUCCCCCACACUGGUACUGAGACACGGACCAGACUCCUACGGGAGGCAGCAGUGAGGAAUAUUGGUCAAUGGGCGCGAGCCUGAACCAGCCAAGUCGCGUGAGGGAUGACGGCCCUAUGGGUUGUAAACCUCUUUUGUCGGAGAACAAAACCCGGGACGUGUCCCGGACUGCGUGUAUCCGAAGAAAAAGCACCGGCUAACUCCGUGCCAGCAGCCGCGGUAAUACGGAGGAUGCGAGCGUUAUCCGGAUUUAUUGGGUUUAAAGGGUGCGCAGGCGGAAGAUCAAGUCAGCGGUAAAAUUGAGAGGCUCAACCUCUUCGAGCCGUUGAAACUGGUUUUCUUGAGUGAGCGAGAAGUAUGCGGAAUGCGUGGUGUAGCGGUGAAAUGCAUAGAUAUCACGCAGAACUCCGAUUGCGAAGGCAGCAUACCGGCGCUCAACUGACGCUCAUGCACGAAAGUGUGGGUAUCGAACAGGAUUAGAUACCCUGGUAGUCCACACAGUAAACGAUGAAUACUAAUUGUUCGGGGAGAAUGAUCCCUGAGUGAUACAGCGAAAGCGUUAAGUA